rnacentral:tRNA from 2 species
GGGGCCGGGAAAGCCAGUGACGCAGGCGACUCAUAAUCGCUUGGUCGCUGGUUCGAUCCCAGCCGGGCCCACCA